GCUCCCGUAGCUCAGAGUGGUAGAGCACCUGAUUUGUAAUCAGGAGGUCACAGGUUCAAGUCCUGUCAGGAGCA
rnacentral:tRNA from 1 species